GCGAAGCUGGGGAGGAAUUUCAAUCCCCGGAGCGAAGUUAGAGCUUGAAGGACGGCGGCGGCGGCGGGCGCAGUCCCGGAACGGCGGCCAGCGGGCAGAUUCUGUUACUAUUACAAGAAUAUUCACAGCAGUCUGGAGUGGAGACAGCACAAACGUCCCCCCACCGGGGCAGAACCCGCUGUGACGAUGCCGCAGGACUGCACACAGAGGGGGCAGGUGGCCACUGCGCAGAGCCCCAAGUGAGCCACAGAGGCAGCCGGCCGCAGAAGGGCACCUGCCAAGCAGCUCCCAUGGGUUCUGUUGUUAGUAAGCUGUGACUCCUAGCCCCACCCCAGACAGAUUAAAAACAGAAAGAAAAUACCUUACUGUUCUGUAUCUUUUAUCUUAAAUAUUUAAUACUCUGGAAUGUAUUUUGGCCUGGCAGAUGAAGUAGGUGUCUUAGAAACUCCUUCCAAAUGGUUGACCAGACAUUCAACACCAUUACUGAACGAUCCAUCCCAUAGAGAUCGACCACUGAUCCUCAUCUGCGCUGCGUCUGUUCCUGGGCCCUGAGUUCCCACUCGUCGAUCUGUCUUUUCCUACCCAGAUUCAUGUUUUAGCUUAGUUAGUGAUGCAUUUUACUAUCUGACAGGGUAAGCCCCCUCCAUUAUUCUUUUAUAUUUUUGAAUUUUUCUUGGCUGUUCUCACAGGUAUAUUCUUCCAGAUGAACAUUAAAAUCAUUAUAUCAUA